rnacentral:tmRNA from 1 species
GGGGGUGACUUUGGAUUUGAUAGAAGGAUCCCGUAGCUAUUGGUAGCCACUGCUGAAUGGUUCUACAGCUAAAUCACGGACCAAAACUAAAAUGCUAACGCAUGAAAAUCUCUCCUUGCGAGAGCUAAAGCAUUUGUUGCUACUCCAGCUUACUGCUAGUUUAGUAUCGCUUUAGUACCAACCUCUACGUCUGACUCCUCCUAUGCGUAAAGGUGAACUAAGGAGGAAUUGAUAGUUGUUGUAGUGAAUAGAAAUAAGGAGUUUGUUCUUUUAUCUCGUUUCUUCCUACUCCAACAACUCUAAAAAUUUAGGUUGGAAAAAGCACUAUAGUGGUAGAAAUUGGUAGAUACGCCUUUUAGACCGGAGUUCGAUUCUCCGCACCUUCACCA